AUUGAACGCUGGCGGCAUGCUUUACACAUGCAAGUCGAACGGCAGCGGGGUAGUGCUUGCACUACUGUCCGGCGAGUGGCGAACGGGUGAGUAAUAUAUCGGAACGUACCGAGUAAUGGGGGAUAACCAAUCGAAAGAUUGGCUAAUACCGCAUACGUCCUAAGGGAGAAAGCGGAGGAUCGCAAGACCUCGCGUUAUUCGAGCGGCCGAUAACUGAUUAGCUAGUUGGUGGGGUAAAGGCCUACCAAGGCGACGAUCAGUAGCGGGUCUGAGAGGACGAUCCGCCACACUGGGACUGAGACACGGCCCAGACUCCUACGGGAGGCAGCAGUGGGGAAUUUUGGACAAUGGGGGCAACCCUGAUCCAGCCAUGCCGCGUGUAUGAAGAAGGCCUUCGGGUUGUAAAGUACUUUUGUUAGGGAAGAAAAGGGAAGUGCUAAUACCACUUUUUGCUGACGGUACCUAAAGAAUAAGCACCGGCUAACUACGUGCCAGCAGCCGCGGUAAUACGUAGGGUGCGAGCGUUAAUCGGAAUUACUGGGCGUAAAGCGAGCGCGGACGGUUAUUUAAGCAGGAUGUGAAAUCCCCGGGCUUAACCUGGGAACUGCGUUCUGAACUGGAUAGCUAGAGUGUGUCAGAGGGGGGUAGAAUUCCACGUGUAGCAGUGAAAUGCGUAGAGAUGUGGAGGAAUACCGAUGGCGAAGGCAGCCCCCUGGGAUAACACUGACGUUCAUGCUCGAAAGCGUGGGUAGCAAACAGG
rnacentral:rRNA from 1 species